rnacentral:rRNA from 1 species
GACCCCAGGUCAGGCGGAAUUACCCGCUGAGUUUAAGCAUAUCAAUAAGCGGAGGAAAAAAACCUUAACAAAAAAGUGGGGUGUUUUUCU